UACGAAGGGGGCUAGCGUUGCUCGGAAUCACUGGGCGUAAAGGGUGCGUAGGCGGGCCUUUAAGUCAGGGGUGAAAACUCGGAGCUCAACUCCGAGCCCGCGUUCGAUACUGGGUGGCUAGAGUCUGGUAGGGGGAUCUGGAAUUCCUGGUGUAGCGGUGAAAUGCGUAGAUAUCUGGAGGAACACCGGUGGCGAAGGCGGCAUCCUGGACCGACACUGACGCUGAGGCGCGAAAGCUAGGGGAGCAAACGGG
rnacentral:rRNA from 1 species